GCCUCCGGACAGCCCCGCGUAGCAGCGGCUCAGCUGGACCAGCCCCUUGCGCAGUCCUCUCUGCAGGUCGCGUGCACCCUCGCUGCUCACCGGGUACUCGGCGCUCAGCCUGCGCAGGUGGCGGGUGCACGGGCCCUGAGGUCACCCUCCUUGGGUAGACCAGGGCAGAGGGGGAGGGGAUGCAGGAGCACUGAGGUCACCCUCGGGUGGCCGGUGCAGGAGCCGUGAGGUCACCCUCGGGUGGACGGGGGUGCAGGGGCCGUGAGGUCACCUUCGGGUAUCGGGUUGCAGGGGCUGUGAGGUCACCCUCGGGUGGACGGGGGUGCAGAGGCCCUGAGGUCACCCUCGGGUGGAGGGGGGAGACUACCCCGCCCACCUAGCAACCCCCAGAAAGGUUGGAGGACUCACAUGAUGAAGGCUGUCACACCGAUGGCCCAGAUGUCUGUCUGUGGAACAGCCCCCUGGCCCUCCAGGAGCUCUGGAGCUGGGAGGGGCACAUGUGGUUGGGCUCAGGUGGAGGGACACAGGUCGUGGGCAUGAGUGAGUGAUCCCAGGUGGGAUAGGUGGGGGCACAGGUGUGUGGGCCAGGUGUGCGGCUGAGUGGGUGGCAGUGGAGCUGGGAGACGGGACAGCACUGGAGGAGAGGGGGCUUCUUCCUGCCUCUCACCCCAGGUGAGGUCCCCCCAACUGUCCACACACGUACCCAUGGUCUCUAGGUAGUCCUUGAACUUCUCUGAGGGCAGCACCUUCUCCUGGCUGAGGCUCUGUGCAUUGCCCAGGUCCACGACCUUGAGCAGGUUGUAUUCGGUGAUGAUCAUGUUCUCGGACCUCAGGUCCAGGUGCAGGAUGUGCUGGGUAUGCAGGUACUGGGUGGCGCUCAGCAUCUGCCACAGGUAGUCCUUCACCUCGGAUUCUGAGUAGGAGGCCCUGGGGGGCAGAAGCUGCUCAGCCCAGGCUCCGGGGUGGGGGCCACCAGGGCCAGGGCUGAGACUACUCCCUGUGGACUGGGAGGGGGCACUGGCUGUGCAGAGGGGCCUGGUCCUCCAUCCCCACGCCAGAGGCCUGCGUCCAUAAGUCCAUCAGUCCGUCCAUCAGCUCAACCACACCACCCCAGGCCACCCUCACCUCUCGGCCAGGCAGGGGAGCAGCUCAGGCCCAGAGCACAGCUCCAAGAUGAGCACCAGGUGCCGGGGGCUGAGGUAGGCUGCGUGCAGCUGGGCCAGGUGCGGGUGGUGCAGGCCCUUGAGGGCCUCGUAUUCGCGCAGCACUGCUGUCUUGUCCUUGGGGCGGUAAGGGAUGAUCUUGGCGGCCAGUGCCCGCCCGCUGGCCUUCUCCCAGCACUGCCGCACCACACUGAAGCGGCCCCUGCUCAAGGGGACAGCGGUCAGGCUGGUGAGUGGUCCCCUCCUAUUCCCCAAUUCCCUACACUCAGAGCAGCAGGAGCCCAGUUCAGCGAGAAGGUGGGUGUGGGGGCAUGGGUGGCCAGCAAGGGGGGUCCAGGCCCUGGCCCCACCCGCCUGCAGCCCCCGAGGCCACUGCACCUCCGGAUCUGUGUCUGGAAUGCGAAGGUCUUUGUGCUGGGCAGAGGUUGGGCUGACCGCCCCUGGUUCUCCUCCUCUGAGGCUGUGGGAGGAGGAGCGGGUGAUAAGGGGGUGAAGAGGGCAUCCCCACAGCCCCAGCUCUCCCCACCUCUCCCAUCACCCCUUCCCAGGCACCCUGACAACUGGGGCUUUGAGCUACGCACUCCCACCUCUUGUUCCUCAGGUUCUGGGGGUAUGGGGACGGGGAGUGGGUACAGCAAGCAGUGAGAGGCAACCUGAGUGAGGGUGUGUGUGAGGGCUGCAGGGGCAUUUGAGAAUGGACCACCCAUAGCAAUCAUGCCCGCUCUUCCUCUCUUGAGCCCAGGGCAGACAUUACUAAUCAACCCCAGCAUUCGUCCACCAAAGCUAGAGGCAGCACAGGCCAGUCACAACCAACUCUCACUACCAACACUCAGCAUGAAGCAGAAUGGACUUGUGUGCUCGUCAACAAGUGUAUGGGAGUGUAGGGAGCGUGGAUGAACAGGCUUCCUUCCAAGCCCUGUGAUGUCAGCAGCUGCGUCCGGCCAUCCUUCCCGAGGCUGGUUGUUUCUGCUGGGACCAGCUCAGGGCCUCCUGCCAACCCAGGGCAGCCCGGACGGUCAGAACUCUGUGUUGACCUUCUCAGGCCUCCUGCAGCCCUGGCCGUGUGUGGUGUCUGGCCCCAUAGGGAUGUGGGCUGCUCAGGGUCAGGGAGCAGAUGCCUCAGCAGCCAAUGCACGGGCCCGGAAGCAUUCCACGCAGGAUGAGGCUUCCCAGCAGCCCCAGCCCAGCCUCCCUGGCCUGGCGGGACCCCCAGUGUGGCCCACGCACCUGCCUUCCGGAGGACGCCCGUGGUGGUCGCUGUCCCCAGCGCAUUGCUCACGCUGCAGGUGUACACACCCAGGUCCUCAGCCGCCACCACCAGGAUGGUCAGAAGCUGGAAGUUCUUGAGGGUGGCAGAGAUGAGGACACGGCUGCUGCUCUCCAGGGGGGCUCCGUCUGCAAAAGGACAAAGCAAGCCUCAUGCCACAGCCAGGCCUCACACCUCUCCCUGGGCCUCAGUUUCCCUCCGGACAGCGAGGCAUCCUGUGGGGCCAGCUCACAGGAUGGCCACUCACCCGAUUUCACCUAGCCCCCAGCCCCUGGGACAGCUUCUUACCUUUGCUCCAGGUGGCCUGGGCAGCUGGCUGGGCUGACACCUGGCAGGCCAGCGUCACUGACUGGCCCAGGACCACAGUCUCAUCUGAGAGCUCCCUUAGGAAUGUCGGCGCUGAGGAGGGAGGGUGAGGUCAGCCUUCAGGGGUGACCUCCAGGCCCCAGAGCAUGGCCUGGACCCUGCAGUGGGGACACCAGGAGAAGCCCUGCCCCACCAGCCCCAACUCCCCAGCCUGGCCCAUCUGCACCACCACCACCUCCUCCAGGAAGUCCUCCAAGACUGCUCAGUUAACCACACCCACCAGGACCCCUCAUCUGUUCCCGCACCCCUGUGAGUGCAAGCUUGCUCCCCACCGGUCUGGCCACACUGGUGGGACCCUGAGAGGCAGUGGGGCCUGGUCUCUGUGUUGGGCCUGCUCACCUCGGUCCCAGCUCUUCAGACCUGAGAGCCGGAAGGAAGCAAGGCCUGGCUUCUUCCUGGGGGGCCCCUCCUUCUCCAGACCUGCAGGAGGAAGGGGGCCAAUGAAGGUCGUGGUCAGGAGGCCCGGCCCCUCUGGGUAGCACCAGCUGCCUGUGGCUGCAAGGACCCCGAGCAGCUGGGACAGGAAGAAAUUGGGGUCGGCCGGCCCGCUGCCCACUCCCCAGACUUCCAGGCCACAGAGGACAGAGGAAACAUGAAGACCAGGCACCCUUCCCACCUCCAGGCACGGGGUCAGGAGGGUCCAGGGCCAGGGAGGUCUAUGUGGUCAGGGAGAACUGUGGGGUUGUGAAGGGUUUUGGGGUCUGGGUUUUGGGAUCAGGGAGGGCCUGAGGUCAGGAGGGUCUGGGGUUGGGUAGGGUAUGGAGUUGGGGAGGGUCUGGGAUCAGAGAGGACUAUGGGGUCAAGGAGGACUCAGGAGGAUCUGGGGUUAGGAGGGUCUGCAGUCAGGCAGGAUCUGGGGUUAGGAGAGUGCAGCGUUGGGGUGUCUGGGGUCAGGAAGGGUCUGGGGCCUGUCGGGAGGACUCUGGGGUCAGGGAGGAUUAUGGUUCAGGAAGACUCUGGCCCCUUCAAAUGCUUUCCCCAGGGGCGUACCACCUACAGCCUCCCCAGACCUCCACAGCUAUGUUAGGUCCCAGGGCUGGAGAGGUGACCCCGAGAUUCAGAGGCCUGAGGCAGGGACAGGAGAUGUGGGCAGCACCUGGACACCGGCGGGGGGCCCCUGGGAGCCUCCUGCCAUCACCUGGAGUGCAGUAACCUUAGCCCCAGCUCUGCGGGCUCGUCCAGUGGCAGGUGCCUCCCAGGGAAGUGGAAGAGACUGCGUGACGGCGAGGACCACUUGCGCUUCCUGCCCACAGCAGCCUCCGCCAGCAGCGCAUCCACGUCCUCUGGCUCCUCUGUGAUCUCCAGGCCUGCGUGGGGGCCCAGUUCACCUGGCCAGGGCCACAUGGGCUCCGGGAACUCGGCCAGCUCCUCCUCAGCCAUGGGGGAGGGCGGCUCUAGCUGAGCAGGCUUGGGGACUUUCCUGAAGAUCAUAAACUCAAAUGGGAGGUACUUGAUAUCGUACAAGUCUGAGAGGUUGAGGUAGGCGGGGUCCACCUCGGAAAUGUCCAGGGAUAUUGUGUCGGCCGCCUCUGCAUCACCUGACAGGUCCUGGAUCGGCACCAGGGAGACUUGCCCGACGUCCUCCCACGGGGUGGGCUCUGGAGAGGUCCUGGAGGGAGCCCUGCCGACCUCAGGCACAGGCCUUGCACUGACCUGGGGCAGCGGGCUCUCAGCCCUGGCUGCCUCCUGCUGCUCCUCCGACUGGGACUCAGCCCUGGCCUCCUCCUGCUCCUCCUCCUCCGACUGGGACACAGCCCAGGCUAUCCUGGCCCACAUGGGCCCCUGCCCCAGCAUGCCCCCCGCAUCUCCACCAAAGGCAAAGGUGCCAUAGCCAGCCACGCCUGCGUAGCCCCCGCGACACCCCAGGGAGAACUUCCGCAUGGUCGCCUGUUCCUGAGGCCGCUGCAAGAUGGUGACGGCUCACCUGCCAGCGACUUCGGGCCAGGAGGAACUUGAGCUGCUUGGUGUUGAUGAAGUGGGCCUCCUCCGCAGGCAUGGAUUUCUGGGAGACCGAG